rnacentral:piRNA from 1 species
UUAAACCAUGAAAUCACUUGU